rnacentral:rRNA from 1 species
GAUGAACGCUGGCGGCGUGCCUAAUACAUGCAAGUCGAGCGAACGGACGAGAAGCUUGCUUCUCUGAUGUUAGCGGCGGACGGGUGAGUAACACGUGGAUAACCUACCUAUAAGACUGGGAUAACUUCGGGAAACCGGAGCUAAUACCGGAUAAUAUUUUGAACCGCAUGGUUCAAAAGUGAAAGACGGUCUUGCUGUAACUUAUAGAUGGAUCCGCGCUGCAUUAGCUAGUUGGUAAGGUAACGGCUUACCAAGGCAACGAUGCAUAGCCGACCUGAGAGGGUGAUCGGCCACACUGGAAUUGAGACACGGUCCAGACUCCUACGGGAGGCAGCAGUAGGGAAUCUUCCGCAAUGGGCGAAAGCCUGACGGAGCAACGCCGCGUGAGUGAUGAAGGUCUUCGGAUCGUAAAACUCUGUUAUUAGGGAAGAACAUAUGUGUAAGUAACUGUGCACAUCUUGACGGUACCUAAUCAGAAAGCCACGGCUAACUACGUG